GUUGAAGAUGAUGAUGACUUUUUUGAAGUUGUUGAUGUUGAUAAUAUGGAUGAUGAUGAAGAUGGUGAGGAAGACGAAUGAAAGAAGCAAUGGCUCGAAGAAGAAAGUUAAAUAUUCGACAUCGAGCAA